UACAGAGGUGGCAAGCGUUGUUCGGAAUUACUGGGCGUAAAGGGCGCGUAGGCGGUCCCGUCAGUCCCUUGUGAAAUCCCCCGGCUCAACUGGGCAACUGCAAGGGAUACAGCGGGGCUUGAGUUCGGGAGAGGGAAGCGGAAUUCCGGGUGUAGCGGUGAAAUGCGCAGAUAUCAGGAGGAACACCGGUGGCGAAGGCGGGUCUCUGGGCAGUAACUGACGCUGAGGAGCGAAAGCGUGGGGAGCGAACAGG
rnacentral:rRNA from 1 species